CACGUAGGGUGCGAGCGUUGUCCGGAAUUACUGGGCGUAAAGGGCUCGUAGGCGGCCAACUAAGUCAGACGUGAAAUCCCUCGGCUUAACCUGGGAACUGCGUCUGAUACUGGGAGGCUUGAGUAUGGGAGAGGGAUGUAGAAUUCCAGGUGUAGCGGUGAAAUGCGUAGAUAUCUGGAGGAAUACCGGUGGCGAAGGCGGCAUCCUGGACCAUAACUGACGCUGAGGCGCGAAAGCUAGGGGAGCAAACGGG
rnacentral:rRNA from 1 species